rnacentral:rRNA from 1 species
UUUCAUGGAGAGUUUGAUCCUGGCUCAGGACGAACGCUGGCGGCGUGCCUAAUACAUGCAAGUCGAGCGAACCGACGGGAGCUUGCUCCCUUAGGUUAGCGGCGGACG